rnacentral:rRNA from 1 species
CCUACGGGGGGCAGCAGUGGGGAAUUUUGGACAAUGGGCGCAAGCCUGAUCCAGCCAUGCCGCGUGCGGGAAGAAGGCCUUCGGGUUGUAAACCGCUUUUGUCAGGGAAGAAAUCUUCUGGGCUAAUACCCUGGGAGGAUGACGGUACCUGAAGAAUAAGCACCGGCUAACUACGUGCCAGCAGCCGCGGUAAUACGUAGGGUGCAAGCGUUAAUCGGAAUUACUGGGCGUAAAGCGUGCGCAGGCGGUUAUGCAAGACAGAGGUGAAAUCCCCGGGCUCAACCUGGGAACUGCCUUUGUGACUGCAUAGCUAGAGUACGGUAGAGGGGGAUGGAAUUCCGCGUGUAGCAGUGAAAUGCGUAGAUAUGCGGAGGAACACCGAUGGCGAAGGCAAUCCCCUGGACCUGUACUGACGCUCAUGCACGAAAGCGUGGGGAGCAAACAGGAUUAGAUACCCCGGUAGUC